GUCGAGCGGCAGCAGGCCCCGCAAGGGGUGCUGGCGAGCGGCGAAAGGGACAGUAAUGCGUAGAUACCUGCCCUCAGGUCCGGGACAGCCGGGGGAAACCCCGAUUAAUACCGGAUGAUGUUGAGAGACCAAAGGUGUGAUUCCGCCUGUGGAUGGGUCUGCGUCCUAUUAGCUAGUUGGUGGGGUAAUGGCCUACCAAGGCAAAGAUGGGUAGCAGGUGUGAGAGCACGACCUGCGUCACUGGGACUGAGACACUGCCCAGACACCUACGGGUGGCUGCAGUCGAGAAUCUUCGGCAAUGGGCGCAAGCCUGACCGAGCGACGCCGCGUGCGGGAUGAAGGCCCUCGGGUUGUAAACCGCUGUCGUAGGGGAGGAAUGGCCGGAAGGUAAUCUUUCCGGUUUGACCUAUCCUAGGAGGAAGGGUGGGCUAAGUUCGUGCCAGCAGCCGCGGUAAGACGAACCACCCAAACGUUAUUCGGAAUCACUGGGCUUAAGGGUGCGUAGGCUGCGCGGAGGGUGGGAUGUGAAAUCCCCCGGCUUACCGGGGAAUUGCGUCCCAACCGCCAUGCUCGAGGAAGAUAGAGGUGAGCGGAACAGAUGGUGGAGCGGUGAAAUGCGUUGAUAUCAUCUGGAACACCUGUGGAGAAAGCGGCUCAUGGGUCUUCUCUGACGGUGAGGCACGAAGCUAGGGUAGCGAAUCGGAUUAGAUACCCCGGAGUCCUAGCGUAAACGAUGAGCACUUGGUGGAGGAUGGUCACGUCCCUCCGACGGACCGAAGUGUUAGUGCUCCCCUGGGAGUAUGUCGCAAGCUGAACUCAAGGAAUGACGGGG
rnacentral:rRNA from 1 species